rnacentral:rRNA from 1 species
UACGGAGGGUGCAAGCGUUAUCCGGAUUCACUGGGUUUAAAGGGUGCGUAGGUGGAUCGGUAAGUCCGUGGUGAAAUCCCUGAGCUUAACUCAGGAACUGCCGUGGAUACUAUCGAUCUUGAAUGCCGUGGAGGUAAGCGGAAUAUGUCAUGUAGCGGUGAAAUGCUUAGAUAUGACAUAGAACACCAAUUGCGAAAGGCAGCUC